GGCGGUCUGCGCUUCCCGACAGGAGAGACAUUUCCCCGGGGCCUUAUCGAUCUCGAAGGGAGCUGUCCCUGGCCGGACCCGUGGGUUCGGACAUAUGGCGCCCACCUACUUUGUAGGUUCCCGGGAUCGACUUCUCCAUCGGUCGUCGUGGAUCGCCG
rnacentral:other from 1 species